GCCACCUUAGCUCAGUUGGUAGAGCAACGCAUUCGUAAUGCGUGGGUCCCCGGUUCAAGUCCGGGAGGUGGCU
rnacentral:tRNA from 1 species